rnacentral:rRNA from 1 species
CGCGAAUGGCUCAUUACAACAGUUAUAGUUUACAUGAUAAUCAAAUUUACAUGGAUAACCGUGGUAAUUCUAGAGCUAAUACAUGCUGCUUUGCUCGACUUUUCGGAAGGGCUGUAUUUAUUAGAUAACAAACCAAUAUUCCUUGUGUCUAUUGUGACGACUCAUAGUAACUGAUCGAAUCGCAUAGGUUUUACCUGCGAUAAAUCAUUCAAGUUUCUGCCUCAUCAGCUUGAUGGUAGUGUAUUGGACUACCAUGGCUUUUACGGGUAACGGAGGAUUAGGGUUCGAUUCCGGAGAGGGAGCCUGAGAAACGGCUACCACAUCCAAGGAAGGCAGCAGGC